UACGUAGGGGGCAAGCGUUGUCCGGAUUUAUUGGGCGUAAAGAGCUCGUAGGCGGCUCAGUAAGUCGGGUGUGAAACCUCCAGGCUCAACCUGGAGACGCCACCUGUUACUGCUGUGGCUAGAGUCCGGUAGGGGAGCGUGGAAUUCCUGGUGUAGCGGUGAAAUGCGCAGAUAUCAGGAGGAACACCAGCGGCGAAGGCGGCGCUCUGGGCCGGAACUGACGCUGAGGAGCGAAAGCGUGGGUAGCAAACAGG
rnacentral:rRNA from 1 species